GUGUGCCCGAAAAGUUAACGGCGGGGUAGAAGUGGAGUCUCUGAAGGCAGACGAAGGGCAGGUGUACGCCAGGAGCCGAGCGCAGCCCUAAGCCGCGCGAGCUGCGCCCGAGCAGAGCGGUGACAGCUUCAGGCAGGUCUGUAGCGGGGAGCGAAUCUGUGGCGGUGCUGGCUGAAGUCUCCGCUGUUGUGCCACCGCUCCGUAAAUGGCUAUAAACGGGUGUCUGUGCCGCUCUUAGUCGGCCAAGUGCGCUCACUUCGUUUCCUUUAGCGCGGUUCUCGUUACUUGUAGGGUAACAGAAGUAACAGAACAGCGAGGAUCUGUCAGAAAGGAACGGGUUUGCAGUUUUCUUGUUGCUGAUUUUUCUCUUUGAGAAGAGACGGAGACAACUUUUCUUUUCGAGGGCUUAGAUUUCUCGAUGCUCGAGGAGGGCUCCGAAGGGACACCCGCAAGGGACAUCCCCUUGAGGCUCUGCGUAUCGUGACUUUGGGGUUAAGCAGCUCUAUGCGUCACACCUGCUCUGCUGCACACCUCCUAAAUUGUUCCAUCCGGCAGCGUUACUGCUGUGAUUCCUUCAUUUGCUGGGCUUUUUUUUCUUCGCGCUUGACAGUUUGGGGAAGGAACAGUCGAGAGGACAAAGCACUUAAACUCGUGGCUGAAGUGAAGGCAGCGAAUGGGGAAAACACUGCUCGCUGUCCUCCAAAAACAGAACUGCAACAGUCCAGUGGAGGUGGGAAGUGAAAGUCUGAAAGCAAGUAUAAGAGUCCGUGUUUUUUCACAUAGUGCUGGGAUCAGCUGUACAGUAAUCCCUGAUACACAGUCUCCUGCAUAUCAGAAAAUUUGCAUCAAAAGCAAAUGGGUAAAUUCAUGGCAGAAAAUCACAGGAUGUUGGCAGUGUGGAAUAGAAAGCUGCAGCCCCCAGCUUUGUAAACUUCUGAGCUGUGAAUAGUUGCAAUGUGUAUGUGGAAAAGAGCUUGAGGGGGCUCUUGUUAUCUUUCUGUGCUUUUUACUCUUUCCAAGAACCUGCGUUUAUGUACACAGCAUCCUGGGUUGGGGUGAGAGGUGAAAUGAUGUACCUGCUCUAACAUGACAGCACAGGAAGGAGCAUGGGCUGCUGCUGUCUUUGCACAUCUUUCGUUGUUGGUCACAUAUCGGCUACUUGCUUCGGUCUGGUUUCUCUGCAUUUCUGUGUAUGCUACCCACUUGUAGAGUCAUUCAAAAUCACAGACAACACUGGCUAGCACUUUGUGUUGCACAGUCCAAAUAAGCAAGCAGUUCCGAAGGGCUACAGCUUGUUGGAAAGUGGUAAUGGGGUAUGGAAAACUUGGCUGUGCUUUAGAUUGCUUGUGUUGGAUUGCAGUGGGAAUGCAGAAGAGAGGCACCGGACACUGAAACCCACUCGUGUGACAGAUCUCUAGGCUUUGUGGAUGGUUAUCUGUGCUGUUUGUGCUAUUUGCUGGCAUAAUGUGUGCAAAUUAUGCUGGUCAGUCCACAGAUUGUGAGCAAUCACCUUAAAAAUAGCUCUUUGGCUGAGACCAGAUGUCUGGAAUUCUUCAGAAGUGGUCUAGGCGAAUUAACCAAAGGUAAAAUUCAGAAAGUACAAAGGGUCAAGCAGCAUGCUAUCAGCUAGAGUAAAGAAACUGGCAAGCACUGAUGUAUAGGAUUCAGGCAAGCCAAGGAAAAGCUUAAAUGUUCAUAGAGAACAGGUAAGUCCCAAGAACUUGUCAGUCUGCCAGCUGUUUGUCCUUUCUGCUGAGGACCUCUUUGGUGCCUGAAAUGUACAGUCCAAUAUUAAGAAAAAUCCUCAGAUCCAUGCAUCUCCCUUGUGAGAGUUUCAUGUCAAUUAGCAGAACAGCAAGAGAGCAUUUCAGACUUCUGCUAAAAGAUUUCAGGACACAACAGGCAUAACAAAAGGGGCUUUUGAAAAUGUGAUAGCUCUUGCUCAGCACCAGGAUCUGAGAGGUGUUGGUGUUCUUUCUGGUGGUUUCUGUGCCCAUACACAACAAAAAAAAAGCCACUUCAGGCAGGAGUGUGGCUGUGCUGUGUGUGCUGCUGGUGCUGGUUGGUGAGGAGGUUGGAUCUCACUCACAGGCAGUGCCCAGGAGGUUUUGGUAGAGCUUUUGGUAUAGCUUUCUGGCUACAGAAAAGGCAUCACGAGGCCCAUGUGGUUGUAGCCUCUAAAGUUUCCCAGGAAAUAUCAGUGAAAGAGCUAAGAGAUCUGGUUGAUGGAUCACAAAAUGCUCAUUUCUGGAACGUAAACAGGGUGCCAAAUCUGGCAAGGGAGGUAAGCUUUGUACAUCUCUGCCAGUGACCCUAGACUUGAUAGAUCUGACUGAGAAAUACAAGCAGGAUGAAGAGCUCGCAGGGCAAUGUGUUGCUCAUGAGUCCCUUCUCUUCCAGCUCAGGAUGGACAACUCCAACAACAGGCGAGUUCUCAGGUAGCAUCACACCCAGACUUAUGGUUAAGCAGUCAUUUUGCACCCCAGUGGCAGAGCACAUGUCAACCCCUGGCUUGUGGGCUGGCACUGGUGGGCAAGGUGGCAGCGAGGAGGGAUAGCAUGUGGAAGGUGCCAGUGGAAGAAAUUUGCAUGUGCCAUAGGGGUACCAACAGAAAGUGCUGUGGCAUUCCUUAAUGUUCGUGUAAAUAGUACAACACAAGGCUCCUCAAAUUUCUUUGUAACUUUCAUAUGUAGGAGCCUCAUGAAUAAUGGCAAUAAAGUAGAUUUCUUGUCAUAUGACAGACACCGUAUGGAAGGUGAGGUACUUACAGGGUCAUAUAUUAUUCCAAGUUGGAAGGGACUUCUGAGGAUCGCUGAGUCCAACUCUUGGCCCCGCACAUCACCACCCAAAAUCCAGACAUAAUAGAAUGUUUUUAUAUUGUAGCUGGACUUGCAGUGCAGAUCAUUGUGCUUGAAAAAAGUUUCAGAAUGUAUCAUUGGGACCAUCAGCAUGAUACAUAGCCCAGAUUCCUGCCCUUGGCUUGGCUGUCAUGCCCUUAUCUAAGGGGAAAGGUGUGGCCCCUGGGACAAGCAGUUGCAGCACCACAUGGCCUUGUGUCCUUCUAGAGUUGGCACUUCAACCUGGCUCCUUGGGGAGCAGCCAAGCUAACCUGGGCUUUUCUCAGUUGUCCUGAUGGAACCUGGGACCUGAGAGCUGGGGCUGUUCAGCCUGAAGAGGAGACUUCAGGGAGACCUGAGAAUGGCCUUUCAGUAUCUUAAGGAGGGCCAUAAAAUGGAAGAGGACAGACUCUUAAGCAGGGUCUCUGGUGAAAGGACAACGGAAAAUGGUUCCAAAUUAAAUGAGAGGAGAUUUUGGCUGGCUAUAAGGAAGAAGUUUUUUGCAGUAAGGGUGGUGAGGUGCUAGAAGAGGUUGCUUAAAGAGGUGGUGGAAGCCCAGCCCUUGGAAGCGUUCAAGGCCAGGUUGGGCAGGGCUCUGAGCAACCUGGUCUAGCUGUAGGCAUCCUUGUUCUUUGCAGGGGAGUUGGACUAUACAGCCUCAAAGGGCCCCCUCCAACUCAUACAAUUCUGUGAUCUGCUCUUCUUUAUGCUUAUUUUCCCUAUCCUCUCUGUGCUUAGAAAAACUGUUUGUGAGCAAACACAAGCAGUUGUUUAUUGCGUAGGUAAUGUCUCCUCUCCUAUGGCUUAUUGAACAAGCCUGCGCUCACUAUUUGCCAGCUAAAUUUUUAGACUUAAAAAACAAAUCCUUGCAGUCAGUGAAGUUACCCUUGUGCAUUUGUACACCGACAUGGCACUCACCUGCUGCAUGGAUAGACAUGGAGUUGGGAGAGCAGCCGAUGGCAGGGCUUUGACUGCUGCCCACACAGCUCUGCCUGCACAGAGUGUCCCACACUGCUUCCAGGGCACAGAUACCAGGAGGUAGCCUGCAGCACAGGGUGAGUGAUGUGACUGAUGUGACAGCUGUGACGGGCAGGGAAGGCUUUGACUCAGUAGGAAUUGACAUGAAGGGUGUGACUUACAGUGAGGUCUGCAGACAGAGGCUGAGGAGAAAGGUGAAGGCAUCUCCACACAUUUGCAGAAGCAGAAGAAUGUGCCUAGAUGCUGCCUGCAGCCUGUUGCAGCUCAGUGAGGUUUCUCCUGCCUUCGUCUCCAACAGGAAGCUUCAAGCCUGUCGUGCCAGAGCUGCUGCCAAUGUACACAAGCUCUGGCCCCUUUGGGCCUGAUUUUUAUGCUGUACAGUAGUUUGGGGGUAAAGGUUAACUCUCACUCCACCAUAGGGUAUUAUUAUUUUAAACUUUUAUAUGAGUCAGAGAGAAGUUAACUCCAUCUCACCCCACAAUAAAAGUAAAUUUACUUAUUCUUUGUAGUUUUCCUCUGACUCCUGCCUUUAUGGUGCAGUAAGUACUUGAAAAAAAGGGAUACUCCCACCUCUUAAAGUUUAAAUGUGCAGCUCUAUGCCUUUGCCGGGCUACAAACCUACCAGCCAGCAGGGCAGAGUUGUCUGGGGUGUACCAAGGGGUUUGCUGAGAGACUGUUUUUAUUGGACGCUCAGUAGAGCAGCUUGUAGCAGAAUUUGCUCUGAAGCACCCCAGGGUAGCAGGGGAUGCAGAGCAGCCAGGAACUGUUCCCCUGGGAUGUCAUCCUGCACUGCAAACGAUGAAAUCACCUGCCCCAUGCACUGACUAGAGAGCAGGGACGUGGCUUCCCUGGCCUUGGUGUGUUUCAGGAAUGCAGGAAAUGAUGCUAGACAUUCUACUGUGAAUAUGGGGAUCACAUCUGUGCGUGUGUAGGUUGGAAAAUACCUCUGAGAUCAUCUAGUCCAACCUUCAGUCCAUCCCCACCAUGCCCCUCAGUGCCACAUCUACACGUUUCUUGAACAACUUCAGGGACAGUGACUCAGUCACCCCCUUGGGCAGCCAAUUCCAAUGCAUCCCCACACUUUCAGAGAAUAAACUCUUCUUAGUGCCUAAUCUUAACCUCUCCUGACACAACUUGAAGACAUUCCCUCUCAUCCUAUCACUGCUAUGCAGCAGAAGAUGCUGACAUCCACCACGCCAUAACCUCUUUUCAAGUAGUUACAGAGAGCUGUGAGGUGUCCCUUGAGCCUCCUCUUCUCCAGACUGAACAAUCCCAGCUCCCUCAGCUGCUCCUCAUAAGACUUGUACUCCAGACUCCUCACAGCUUCAUUGCUCUUUCUCUGGACACACACCAGGACCUCCUUGUAGUGAAGGGCUUAAAACUGGGGGCAGUGAGAUUGUUAGAAUCACAUACUGCCAGCACAGUACAUUUUGUAUAGAAACACACAUCUACAUACCCCAUGAAUAAAGCGUCCUAAUCUUUAGUGCUGGGAUGACAAUGUUGUUGUGAGAUGACAAAGUCAAAUGUGAUACCCAUAACUGCUAAAUCUUUGUAGAAUUGGUGUUUCUCAGGUGUCUGCUUGGAAGCUGUCUGUCCUCUUCCAGAAGCACAGACAAAUCAGACUGUGAAGAACUGUAGAUUUUAUUACUGUUGUUGUUGUUCUUUGGACUCCAUGUUAUUUCAGAUCUUCAGAAUCUUAAAACUGACAGGCUUACUGUUUGAAUAGGUCUAAAAGUAAUGGGGUGUUUUUCCACAUCAUAAGCUCCACUAAUAGAGGUCUGUAAAACAGCACAGAAAUAAUAGGGAAAAACAUGGGUUUCUUAGUUCUCCAGUGCUCCAUCCCUCAAAGGAGAUCUGUAUUACAUCAGGCAGGUCAAAAUAAGGGGGAGGCACUGGGUACUGCUGCAGGUGGAGGGCAGCCCAUGGCACUGGGCUCCACUGCAAGGAAGCAGCUCAAGGAACCAGGUAGAAAAACAGGCAAAGCUGAUACAGCCGACUGAUCUAGAUCUGGUGCCAGUUUAAAGUACUCCUCCAGGAGCUCUGAGAUCCCUAUCGUAGAUAAAUUUGCUAUGAAAAUUAUUAGCUAGCACCAGUAAACACCAGUAAGUGAAUAAAUUAUUUUUUCCAGCCAACAGCAUUGAAUAAUCAAGUAGAGAAUAUCUGACCCAGCCAGAUAGUUUGAUACAAGAAGGAAAUCACUUAGCAGAGCACAUCUCUUCCCUUGCCUUCCUCACCUCCAAGGAACAUGGUCUGCUCUGCAUUUCAGCAGCUAGGUUUGUACAGAGCAGAGAGAGGAACAAAGGAAGGAACUGUGCCCGCCUGCACAGAUAGUGAUGGAAACAUCUCAGCCAGGUCUGCACAGCUGUGGGAGUGAGUGCAUAAAGCAGACAGAGGUCUUCAGUGAGGGAGAGGAGAGAGAUCUUUUCCCAGAGUGUUUUUGCCCAGAGGAGGGAGAAUUGUUCCCAUUGCUCCUGCUGCUGCGUGGCUGUGCUGCUGAUUGCAUGCUGGUCUGCUUUGCAAGGGAUGGUGCGGACUGGUUCUGGCUCAGGUGCCUUUGAGGAUGGAAAAGCAGCAUAUCGGAUGGCACACCUGUCUGGCUGCUGUCUGCUUUUAUUUUUUUCCUUAAUGCCACUUAUACAGGAGCACCUAUUUUCAUUGUCCCCUCUCUUCAUUCUCCUCUUCCAUCAUUUUCCCACUAAUUUUCUGCUGCUCAUACUUUACUCAUGCCUAAGUUGUAGUAUUUUUGUGUUUGUUUUUCUUUCUUCACCUGAGUGAUGGGGGAGGAGCCACAUUCAGCUCAGAAGAUCUUCUGCAUGGGUGACAGAACAGCACACAGUGGCAGGAGAACUCCUGCUCUCCUGCAUCUCCAUUUCCUCUCCUCUCACAGAUUCAUCUUCGGAGUUUAUGUUUUUCCUCAGCUCUUGAUCUAUUCAGGCACAAAAUCAGGAUGCCCCAUGAUGGUAUCUAUAUCUAUUUAUCAUGAAUACUAUAAAUUCCAGAUACACUGGGGGAGCGCUGCCUAUAUUCAACUUGAACUUUGCAGAAAUCCCUCUUUUGGUGGCAGCCAACACACUUUGCCAUACCAACAGGUGGUGGUGGAUCCCAGCUGGCCCUCUGGCAUGACACACACUAAAGUAGAAAAGAAGCAGGAUAUGUUAGGGGGAGAGGUGUGUUAAGGGAGGCCACAGCUGUUGUUCUUCUGCAUAUCCAGAUAGCUGCUGGCUGAGCUUGGAAUUCUGUUUGCUUACCAAACAGGUCCUUCAGGAUGGGCUGGCAGAGGGCACUGCAGGAGGGCUGCUGUGUGCUGACAGGACUGCUGCAGGCAGGCCCACUGCAAACUUUCUCAAACAGCUCUGCUGACUCACCUCAGUCCCACUCCCCGGAGCUCCUUCCCUUCUGAAGUGCUGGGCAGCAAGAAUCUCCGAACAGCAAAUAUAAGGAGAGGACCAAACUGAGUGCUGAGGAAUUGCAAAGUUCCUUGCUGUUGCAAAUAAUCUGGCUAAUAUGCUCUUGGCAAGUCAGCACGAUCUGCAAUCAAAGUGUUAGUCUUUUCUCUCAGGUAAUAGCAAAAGGUAGUGGCCUCUCAGAAGAGGUGAUGGCCAGACAGAAGAUUUGUGGAGAUCCCAUGAGGAAGAGUUUGAAGGAGAGGAGAGAGUGCAAUCACUCAUCUGCAGCAAUCUCUUAUGAGACCUCUGGCAACACAGCACCAAUUUUCCUACAUGAGCAUUAUGAUUCCAUGCUACCUCUCCUUAAAAACCAUUAGGUUACACACAAGAACAGGUCCAAUAGUGCUGCCUAGCACCCAAAAAUAAGCAGAACAACGAGCUGAAAAGGUUUUUUCCUCUCUCUUGCAUACACACUUGCACAAUGAUAGGACGAGAAGGAAUGUUUUCAAGUUGUGCCAGGGGAGGUGCAGGUUGGGUAUUGGGAAACAAUUAUUCUCAGAAGGAGUGGUGAGGCAGUGGCACAGGUUGCUCAGGGAGGUGCUGGAGUCACCGUCACUGGAGGUGUUCAAGAGCUACAUGGAUGAGGCCAAUAAUGUGGUUGCCCUUUUGAAUGGGUUAAAGCAAACUCUUAAGAGGGUACAUGUGGGCAUGGUUCUUCUGGGGAGCAAGCAAGACAGCAGGCAUUGGUACUUUCUGGUGUGUACUGCCAACACAAGGGCAAUAGGGGUGGCCAGCUGGGCUGCAAACAGAGUUGCUAUAUGGGACAGAUUCUCUUCUGGUCUUCACUGGAAACAAAUCCUAACACUCUAAGUGCUUGAACCAUGGUGACUUUUGCUCCCUGUCACAAAAUACUCGGGGCCGUUGUGGGGCAAUAUUAAGAAGUAAUGUAUGAUGGCACAGUAGUAUGGUUUCCCAUGUUGUGCCUUAAACUUGUUUUUGCUCUGAAGGAAUGGGUAUGUACCCUGUACCAAGUGUGGUUUGCAAUAAACUAACCUUCAUGCUCCUUGUUUCAUGAGGCUCUUUAGAGAUUUACCACUGGACCACAAUAUUCUGUAUAAUGCUGUGUCUCAGCAGGUUAAUUUCUGAGUUUUCUGCUCCUCCUCAAACAGUAACCUCCUGAUUUUCUCUCCGGGGCCAUUUGUCACACAGAGGUGGAUAUUCUCCUGCUCCUCUUCCCUUGUGCAUGGUCCUGAGGGAGGAGAUGCUGGGCUGGGUGAGGUGUCCUAUGCUACCCCAGAUUUGUAGUUCACUGUCUUAAUAAUGAUGGUUUGUUUGCCCUCAUAGCACUGAGAAGACACAAUAGCUUAAAAGGCCUAGUUUUGCAAAGAUGUAAUUAAAACAGCCAAACUUCACAUAGGCACUCUCUAAGUCAGGUUUGCACUGAUUGGUGUUGUUUUCACAGCACUGUAAAUUGUUCGAUGUUGUAUAGCUAUAAACAACACAAGGCAUGUAAUACAGGAGAGUUACAAAUGCUACUUGGAGCUGCCUGACUGCCUUGGUGGUAGUUCACAGUGGUUUGAACUGUUGUCCUUGGAGGAUAAUGCAACAAAAUUUACACAGUGCUUAGCUGCAAGAGUGCUUGAUUGCCAGGCCAAUCAUUACUUUUCCUUAGACUCUGCCCUAGGGACCAGGGUUACCACCAAUACCUUUUACAGUUUCUUUUUACACAGAAUGAUAUAACAUUUUCGACUAAAAUGAUGCAAAUGAAUAAGAAAUUUUGCUCUGAUCCAGUUUAAUUUCAGGAGCUAAACUGAAAAACAAGACCAAAUGUGAUCACCUUGGAUUACUUUGCCCAUUCGGUCUGAGUGCAAGCAGCAGUGGUAAAGGGAGAGCCACUUUGCAGAGUAUGUACCCAGUAGUGCCUAAAAUACUAUGGGCCCGCUGAGCCAGAAUUAUAAUUGGUUUAACACUUUUCUUUUUUGUCUCUCCCAAAAGAAUACUAAAAGUGGGUUUUAAUUUACCUUCAAUUAGCAUUUCCUUGGUUUUCACCCUGUAAGCUGUUAACAUCUCAACAAGCUGCAGUCACUCAGUAGAAAUUACACACAGUUAAGUUUUUUUUCUGCUGUACCAUAGCAAGCCGUGUUGUAAAAGCUAGGAGAAAUAAACACUGGUUCAGUUUGCCUUGCUUGCCAUGUUGGUGAACAUUACUUCUGCCUCUGUGAAAGUGUUUCAGUAUGAGCCCAGUGUUGGCUGUGCGACACGCUGGACCCAAAGGGGUUGACUCUGGCUGGUGUACAAGUGCAAAUUCUGCUUUCCACAUGCAUGAUGACACUGCAGGGCACAUUUCUGGGCACUCUGCAACUGGCCAGUAUGCAAGCAGGAGUAUUUUUUUCCUCAGGAAAGUAAAUUUCUGCACAGUCAGCUGAGUGCAGCAAGUAGUGACCAUGGCAGUAACAGUUUUUCUGUGGUCGUUUUCAUACUUCACUUCCCCAAAUCUUUGCUGGUUACCCAAAAUACACAUAAUAUGUAAACACACAUGUUAUUAACUCUUUUCUUGGUUCCAUGUUCCCCUGGCAGAACAAACUUGCCCAAUGCCAAGUGUGCAUUUUCUAAUGUACUUCUGCCUUCAAAAGGACCCUCCUCCCUAUGCUUCCCUCAGCUGGCCAAGCUCCACUUAUAACUUUUAACAAGUUCAGUGCUCUCUGUGAGAUCAUGAGGCUCAGGAACAAUUCUUACUAAAGAAGCCUCUCUUACAGCUUUGCCAUCACUUUAAUUCCAGCAACACUGAGUUAUGCUGCCAUGAGAUGAGUCAAAAUGCCGUUUGCUUGGAUAGUAUUCAGUGACAGAGAGAAGGAAAAAGCCUAUAUUCUGAUUGUGUGGGCUUCACAGGCUUUGACGAGUGAUUCGCAAGGCAUAGGAGAGCUGCAGAAAUUUUCUGCAGGCUCCCAAAAGCUGAAGCAUGCACACUGAAUUGAAGCCCAUAGGUGAGAGCAGAGCUCUGCUGCCCAAAUGUGGAGUGCCAUGCAUUUUGGGGCCCUUCUAGUCUAGGGGAAAUGAGGAGGCAGUUUCUCUUCCAGCUCAGGCUUCUCUUACUCCCACCCAGGAGGGCUAGUUCUGCUGACAAAAAUUGUUCUUCCUCAAGAACAUCCUGCAUCUUUCUCUGCACCAAAGUCUUGAUGCAUGGCUGAAGUCCAUCGGGGGUGUGAAACUCUCCCUUUGUUUGUCUUUUGGUGUAACUGCACAGCUUUCACAGUAGCACAAAGCAAAUGGCUGUAAGAGUCUGAAGGUGUAAAGCUGCUCAGAAUGGCUUCUUGCAGUGUGGAAAAUUCAGAAAACCCAGCUAUUUCCUGGGUGGAAGGAAAUAGUGCUAUAAUGAAUCUAACGAUCUGUCCCUAUUCUGAUCCAAAAAGGAAAUAAAAGGAAAUUCAGAGAACAGAGCAAUAGACACAGUAAGCAUUUUUAUUGGUAAAAAUUUCCAGUUAGGGCUCUUGGCAGCUGCUAAUUGCCUUAAGUCUCGGUGCCAGAGAAUUGAGAUUUCAUCCAUAUUUAUAUAUUGGCUAACGUAACUCUAGAAACUCCCAACAACUCCCAACAGCCAGCUGAUUGCCUAAUUCUUUCUUGAAUCCUGCUGAGCUCGUGGUCUUUAGGAUGCCUUCUGACAGACUGCAACCACAUGUAUAAACACACAUACAAACUAUAAACACAUGCAUGUGUUCUUACACAAUGUGCAUGUGUUUCCCUUGUAUUUGUUGCAUGUCUGUUUUCUUUGAACAUCCCUUGUUCUUGGAUUACAGAUGCAAGGGAUAAAUAAAACCCCAACUUGUCUCCUCUGAGUCAUUUAAUACUUCGCAUCCCUCCCAGUGAAUGCUUGGACCUGGUUCUGUGCGUGUGUAUACUGUAGCUGUGCAGUGUGUGUUGGUUAUGAGAUGUGGCCAUUGUUCAUUAAUUCCUUCAGUAGUGUUCUCACAUGUGGGAGGGACAGAUGAUGUGGAACAUAUUACUUUAGAAUUGUUUCAGAACAGCAUUUCGCUUAAUUAUGAACUAGGCAAGGGGGUGUAGAACCAACAAAGGCAAAGUAGAUGCUACAGGGAGGGAUGUUCGGGGGGGCAAGCUAUGGAAUGCAGCCUUAUCUCAUGCCAUUCCAGGCAGUCGUGCUCACUUAUUGGUUCAAACUGUGCCACUACAGCAAGGAAUAAAAUCUGCACGUCAGCAGUUGGAGUGGAGAAUAUUAUAAUAACUUCUUGGAACCAGUUGUAAUAUCCCUUCCUAUUCUAAUUGUAAUAUCAGAGCAAUCUACACCUAGUUUCUUGGAAUUGUAAUAUCUCCUAUUCUUAUUGUAAUAUCAGAAUAAUCUAUGUUCAGUUUCCUAGAAUCAAUUGUAAUAUCCCCUCCUAUUCUUACACAUGUAUAACUUGUCUCUACAAAUACACUUAAACUGUCCCUUUAUGGUGUGCAGGUUAGGAGAGGCUACUCCUUCUGCACCCAGAAUGUGUACGCAGAACUGUAAUUAAAAAUAUACCUGCGUUAUAAUCACUUUGUGGUUAUGGACUCAAGUCAGUAUUGGUUGCAAGAUACAAAAACUUCAGUGCUAUCCAGGUGAUUUCUUUCUUAACCUGACCUGUCUCCACACCAUACCAGAAUCUGGUGGUCUGGAAUGGUAGUUUUAAGCAGGUAACUGUCACCUUGGCUUUUUUGUUGGUUCACCUAGAAACAGAAUGUUUGAUGCUGGGUGGAGCUGAACAGAACUAAUGUACAUAUAGGAUCUUUGGAGCGCUGGAGAGCAUGUUUGCUCGUUUUGUUUUGUUUUUCGUUUUCCAGCUUCUCAGUUGCACCUGUGAAAGAAGUAGCUUCAUUCAGCCAAAUGUGGUAUCAGUUGUCUUUGGUGGGUAGGGAGAUGACCGGGCAGAGUGACAAGGUGGGCUGCUAGAGAGAUCACACUCUAAAUUCCUGCUUCCUGCAAAGGAAGAGCUGAAGAGAGAAGGAAGAAACUACAGAAAGAGGUUGAAGGGAAAUCUGGAUUAGACAUUAAGACAUUGAUUACCUAUUGGUUUGAAGAAGGCCUGAAGGUGAGGAAGUGCUGGCUAAGGGAGAAAGUAGUAUAUUGGUUUUGUGAUAAUGGAGGGUCAGACCUGUUUUUUCUCAUCAUUUGUUGUAUGCUUGAUGGCUGUUUGUACAACCUACAGAGAGCUGCCAAGCUCUGGCUUUUACAAAUUGGGUAUACCUGUGCAGUCCCUUCCCCAGUCCUUUCCCAGCAUCCCCAGGUGAAGCACAGAGCAUGCCGAGGGAUCAAGCAGGCCUGGUGAACCCGAGUGGACACUUGCAUGAAUAGCUUGCAUCAAGGCUGCAUGCAUCAAGGUGACAUUUCCUUCUCCUUCUCUGGGUUGAUCCCAGAGAAGAAAUAACAGGCAAAAAACACAGGGAGAGAGACUGAUGAAACAGCUCCAUCUUGACAGAGUAAGACUGCAAAGUCAGAGGUUGCAAGACCUGGCCGUGAUGGGUACAUUAAAGAUAUAUCCAUUAGUCUCUUAGUAAGAUUUUACUUGGAAUCUGCAGGCAUUUGAGUCACUUCUGGUAAUCACAUUGUCUUAUUCUUGCUUGUAACCAUGCUUGAAAACUGUGAAGAGGUGCAGAGAAGCUCCAGCACUUGGUCUGAAGGAUUGAUGUUGGUGUUCCGUGUGGAAGCAUAGCUCCUGUUAAGGCUGGUACAGCUGAAGAGAAGACACAACACAAUAGGUGUUUGCCUUAUGUUUGUCAUAGGGAACGAAGGAAAAGGGUUGUAGGAGAAGCUUAUCCAUCCAUAUGGAUAAUGCUGAAACUAACUCAGGCUGUUUUGCUGUGGCACCAUCAUCUGUUACACUCCUUCAGGAACCAGAGAGCACAAAGUGCCUUGUCUGUGUCCUGUGUCCUCUGUCUUUUAUCCAACAAGGAGGAAGCAGAGUGAGAUGAUGUGAGAAACCUAGAGGCAAGCUGCCCUCUGUGCAGGCAAUCUCCCAGAAUGAGACUGUGUACAACACCCCCAAAUCAUCUCUUUGGUUUGCAAAAGACCAUGUUGUUCCUGUCCUGAACUGAAGCCUCUCUGUCAUUGCAACAGCAUUGUGUAAGAUUUACAGUAGGUUACGCACAUUCUUCUGUUGACUCUGCACAUAUAAAGUUUCAAAGCCAGUAACAGGUCUGAACAUAGCUGGCAAAGUGGGUGGGCACAAUGAAGCAUUCUGAUCCAGUUUCUUGCCCCCAAAAAUGCAGGAAGUUGUUCUGCAGGAAGAGUGCAAUGUAGCAACGAAAUGGAGCUUAAGCUAAUGCUUCACUUGGAUGCGGCCUCUAGUCUAACUAGUUCAGGAACAAAAAUAAUUAUCCUUGCACUCAGCAGGUAGGGCAAGAAUAUGUGGAAACAGGAACACUGUAUUGAGCAUUCAGUGCUGUAUUACCUCAGUUGCUAAACUGCUUCACAGAAAUGGUGCUAUAUAUCUUGUUUCAUAAAAAAAAAGGGCAUUGCCUCUGCUUUGCAGUCACAGCCGAAGGUAUCUCAUACAGCAAGAUUAGGCACUGUUUCUCACUGCUGCCCCACUUGUCUUCAAAGGUUGUGUUAUAUACUACCUGCAAUGGAUGGAAGUGCUGUGUCUUCAUCUGUCUCUUUCUUUCAGGGCAGAUUAGCAGUACCUUCAAGAAAGAAAUCUGGACUUCGGACAUGUCAGACCCUGCUGGGAAGGGACAGGAAGGAAAUUCGUUUCUCUUUGGACUUCAUUGUGCAGUCCCAGUGUUAAAGACAGUGAGGAUGCUCUGACUGAAUUCCAAAGCUUUCAAGUAUAUCUUUUCUCUCUCUCUCUCUCUCUCUUUUUUUUUUUUUUCUCUCUCCUAAUGCCUACUGUUAAACAUGACUUUGCAGAUUCAUGAGAGAGUUUCUCAGUCCUCCUGUUGAAUUCUCUGGAACUGCUUCAGAAAAUGAAGUCUCCAUUCUACUCUCUUAAAAGGAUAGGCAUGUUUCUGCCAAUGCAAAGGUUGCUAUACUCUUGUUUGUGCCACAAAAAUAGAAGAAAAAAAGUGCUCUGGAAAAUAUACAGCAGGAGUCCUAUUCUAACACUCUUAUUAUUUAGCUGGGUGUUGUUUGAAAACAGCGAUAUUUUAUUGCCUUCAGUCAGACGAUGGGGGUAAUGAAAUCUUUGCCUAUUAUUGUGGCAAAAUCUGUCUUUGAAUUAACAUGAUGAUUGAGAAGAAAGGUGGUGUUUAUGUUGUAAUGACGUAAUUGCCACUAGAGCAUCGUUCCUCUUGUAAAAUAUCAAUGUAUCUGUUUCCUUACAGAAUGAAGAGGCAUAAGUUUCCCUACAGGUGUCCCACAAGAAAGAAGAUUCUGAUCCUGUGUUUUACAGGGUGGGUGAUUGCACUCCUGAAGCUCCUCCAUGUUGAAAGACACUUUUUUCCACCUAAGAGUAUUUAUCUGGUCGAGCACUUCUUGAGCACUUCUUCAUAUGUCAGAAACAGAUAUUCCUAUCUUAGAAACCACUUCCAGUAUGAAAUUAACUGUUCGUCUAUCUAUGAGCAAGAUCCUCAGGAAAUCGGCAAGAGUUUAGAGAUAAGAAGGAAACAUAUAAUUGAUUUAGAUGAUGAAGAUAUCAUUGCAAUGACAAAUGAUUGUGACAUGUAUCAUACCCUGAGGAAAUACCACCUGAUACCUGUUUCUCCAGAGGAAGAGAGUUUUCCAAUAGCCUAUUCUUUUGUUGUCCACAAAGAUGCAGUGAUGGUUGAAAGGCUCAUACAUUCACUGUACGGUCAUCAAAAUAUAUACUGCAUUCACUAUGACCGAAAAGCAGCAAGAAGUUUUAAAUCUGCUAUGAACAAUCUAGCUAAAUGUUUUCCCAACAUUUUCAUUGCGUCAAAACUGGAGAUGGUGAACUAUGCACAUAUUUCAAGACUGCAAGCAGAUUUAAAUUGUUUGUCUGAUCUGAUGAACUCUGCGGUCCCCUGGAAGUAUGUUAUUAACUUGUGCGGCCAAGAUUUCCCUUUGAGAUCAAAUUUCCAGUUGGUUGCUGAACUGAAGAAACUCGGCGGGGGAAAUAUGCUGGAAACUAUAAAGCCCAGUAGUAGCAAAAGAGAACGAUUUACUUAUCAUUAUGAACUUAUGAAAGUGCCUUACGAAUACAUGCAGAUGCCUGUGAAAACCAACAUUUCCAAGAACCCACCACCUCAUAAUAUUGAGGUAUUUGUUGGCAGUGCCUAUUUUGUUUUAAGUCGAGCUUUCAUUCAGUACAUCCUUAGCAGCUCUCUUGUAAAAGACUUUUUUGAUUGGUCGAGGGAUACUUACUCUCCAGAUGAACAUUUCUGGGCCACUCUUGUGCGUGUUCCUGGCGUGCCUGGGGAAAUUUCGAGGUCUGCCCAAGACAUCACAGACUUGCAGAGCAAAACUCGUUUGGUGAAAUGGAAUUAUCUUGAAGACCAUUUGUAUCCUCCAUGCACUGGUACCCAUCUUCGUAGCGUCUGCAUCUAUGGGGCCGCAGAAUUAAGAUGGCUUAUGAAUUAUGGGCACUGGUUUGCCAAUAAGCUUGACUCCAAAGUAGAUCCUGUCCUGGUAAAAUGCUUGGCAGAAAAACUGGCAGAACAACAAAAAGAGUGGGUUUAUUUGUCUUCUGACAAACAUUUUCUGCGUAUCAAUCCUGCAAAUGCCUCUCUAUAGCAAUGCUGUUUUUCCAGCUGCUGGUACUGUGUACUGCUAUAGCUUGGUGCCUGGGAUUCUCCAGCCCUGACCUGCUGCAGAGGAGUUCCUUCUGCAUUAAGUUCCGGACUUUGAAGAGAGAGGUAUCUGGAAACAAUCUGUGAAAUUAACAACUCUCUGGUUGACUGUUCUUUAACUUGCCACAACAAUCCCAUAACUAUUCUUCAAGGUGAUUCUGGAAGCGUAAGGCUUGCUUUUGGAAGCCCUGGUACUAUUUACUCUAAUGGAAUACUUCAGAAACCUGUUUUACAUUGUGUGUUUGUGUCUUUCCUGAGAAACCCCACCACGCUUGUUCGCCUGUCCCCUUUUCCUGCACUUUUUCAAUAAGGUAUGAAACAAAGACCUCUGCAUCUGCUACCUCAGGAAAAUUGGAAGUGCCCAGCUUGCAGACACAAUUAAGAGAGCAGUGUGACUGCUGCAGAUUGGAGUGCCCCUCUUUCCACCUGCAGGUGCUGACAGGGCUGCAAUGUGAACUCUUCUGGAUGCCACAAGGGAAGAAGUUACCCUUGGCUGCCACAAUAGCAUUGUGUCCUUCUCCCAGCUUGGCGGUGCAUGGUUUGUCUUUCUGUGUUUGGAAGUGUGCUGUGCCUGUGGAAUGGGUGGUGGUGGAUUGAAGCAAUCUGUGUGAACACAUGUGAAUAAUGCUCUACUGUUCUUCAAGGGCAGUACAGAUAUUUUGCAGAAUAUGGAACACUGACAGUAUUUACAGAUUCACACAUCAGUACUAAUAUACAAAAAACAGACUUUUCACAUGGAAAGAGGUUAAUAGCAGAAGAUAUUGGGAUGCCAGAGGACCAAGCCUCAGCCAAGUCAAGCAAGCCUCAGUGCAGCAGCGUAGAUGCAAAGUUGAUGUCUGUAUCAUAGUUCAGAUCAUACAAGUGAAUACGUAGUGCUGUUGGGGAACAACUUAAUUGUUUGCCUUUGACUUCACCACCUUUGUUCUUUACACAGGUAGGUCUUUCUUUGCUAAGUCAUGAUCCAUAAAUACCUUUCUCUCAGUGAGAAGAGCAACUGAACACAGCUUAUGGGAGAAAAAAAGUUAUCUGAUUUGGGCCGCAACUUUGAUUAUAGGCAAUGAUCUGCUGCUCUCUGAUCUUUCUUUGCCUUAGUAAAGUCCAGAUUUGCGUUUCUCCUUUCCUCCUCUCACUCUUCUUGUCAGUUAUUUCUUAAACUUGAAAUGCACAUAUGUUUGCCAUGUCAGAUAGUUCACUCUCUCUUUGUUUUGCUCAAGAUGCCCCACACUGCCCUUUUUCCACCCAUCCAGUCCCUUGCUAGCUGCACAGUGGAUUAUCAGUUCACUUGAUCUUCCUAUGCAGGAAGGAUGUGAAAGCAGGGCAUUAAUGUUGUUCCUGCUGUCAGUACAGGUACAGCCUGCUGCUUUAUUAGUGGCUGGAAACAGCUGCUGGAUGUGUCCUAACAUGAAAAGUUAAGUAAAGGGCAGUGAGAAACAAUGUGCUUUAAAGUAAGAACUGUGGGACAUUUGUGCAACUUGACUCACUAAUGAAUUUCUUAGACUGAACACAGAGUUGAGGGAGGGCAAUACAGAAGAACUAAUAUUUCACUGUGUAUUUUCCUUGAUGUUAGAGUAAAAGACUGUGAAAGGAAAUACUACAAUUUAGACACCUAAUCUAUAAUUGUAAUUAGAAAACACUCGAUCAGUUGAGCAUUUCUGCAGAUACUACAUCACUGCUGCGACAUGUGAGGCAGAAUGUACGACCGUGAGAAAAGCAGUUUUGUGACAGCAAAUGAAGAGCUUAAGUGUCAUCUGUGUAUUUAUGGUGUGAUCUCAGAUUUUAGUCCAGGUACAAUGCCUGUCUGUGAUGUGAUAUGGUGAUAGUUCCCCAUUUCACUGAAAGGCAAGUGCAGAACAGAGUUAUCCAUUAAUGACACAGUAAACCUUCUCUGGAAAUACCCCAGCACUGUUUGGUCUCUCAAGCCAAUAGCUGUAUGCUAUUCUUCUCCCCUUCUUUCCAAGACUACCAGGCUUUUUGAGUUUCCCAUGGCUAAACUACACUAAUCCUUAGAGCAGCAAUCCUUUUUAGAAUGGGGGGAAAGUAAAUACCAUGCAGCUUUGGACUGGAAAUUUUCUCAAAUGAGAUAGAAAGGAGCUAGAAGGCAUUUUGGGAAGGAAGAUGGGGAAAAUAUGUUUCCUUACUACAGAACUGCCACAUAUGUAUCUUAGCAAAGAAUGGCUUAAGUGAAAGGUACCUACAGCAUGGUUGCUGCUGCCAUCUCUGAUGAAGAUAAGCAAGACUUGCAUUAAGUGUAUUUUGAAAAUGAAAAUCACUGAAGAGAAAAUGCUCAGAGCUUGUUUCAGCUUCUGUUCCUGUAAGAAAUGUGUACUUAGAAAAAUACUGAAAAUGUACUGCAGCUUGACUAGUUAGUAACUCAGUACUGUGAUAUUUGCAACAGGAAGGGUAGAAAAAAAAGAGUCUGUGAAUUCUUUGCUCAAGGCAGGUCAAUGGUUUUUAAUGAUAUUUUCAGUGUUAUUUCUAGAAACCAAUUUAAACAUGUGCUAAUGUGAAAAAUAUGUGACUGACUUCUGCCUUGCAUCUCAAGUGUUAGCUGUAACACAUUCAAGUUUAUUUUAGAAAGUCUCUUCUCUGGGCUACAAUUAAGAGACUUUGUUGUGAUUUAAUUAAAAUUCCUAUUGCUGAGCACUUUUUUACUGCUUGAAUUUGUUCUCUGAGACUGAAAGGAUGGCAAAUCUAAGCUUUACCCAGGGUGAUGAGAAAGAGAAUAGAGAGUACGCUGAGAUUCUGCAGGUGACAUUACUAUCACCACAGCAUAGCAGCUGGGAAAUCAGAACUUCAUCAUUGACAAUAAGGAUUAAAGGCACCAUUUCUUCACAAAGCUAGCAGGGACUGGAAAUCAUACAGUUGGAAUGACUACUCGCAUAUAUUUUAGCACUAAAAUGUUGAUGACUGUGGGAAACAAGGCUUUCCUGUACAAGAAAGACCUAGUCAUGCAGAAGGAGUGGAGGUUUAUCAAGAUGAUGAUGGGACAGGAGCAUCUCCCCUAGGAGGAAAGGCUGAGAGAUGUAUAACUGCUCAGCUUGCAGAAGAGGAGGCUCAGGGGAAUCUUAUCAAAAAUACCUAAAGGGAGAGUGCAAACAAAACACUGCCCAGUGCCAGGACAACACAAACUGGAACACGGGAGCGUGAACACCAGGCAGCACUUCUAUGCUAUGCGAGUUUUGGAGCACUGGCAAAGGCUGCUCAGAGGCUGUGGAUUCUUUUCCUUGGAGAUUUUCAGAUGCUUCCUAGUCAUGAGCCAGAGCACCCAGAUCUGGGUGUUUCUGCUUGAGCAGUGGUUGGACCAGAUGGACCCAUAGGUUCCUUCCAACAUGAACCUUCUGUGAUUCUCUGAUUCUAUGGAUAACAUAGGCGGAUCUACAUCUUUCUCUGACAGACUGAAAUAUUAGCUGUAAACAAAGAAUUACAAGAUUUUGCAAGACAUUUAGCAGAAAAGUAGAAGUGCUAUUCCUGCAAGAAGUCCAAAAUGGCUGCAAGAAUUGAUGGCAUCCUGUUUUUAUUUUCUCUAAGAGUUAUAAUAGUCCCAUGUUUCCUGUGGUUCGUUCUUAUCUGUUAAUAACGCAGUCCCAGGUCCUUUGUGUCCUCAAGAUACCUAUACCAACUAAAUUUUGCCUCUCAAUUCUUCUGAGCUGCUCUGGAGUGCUUUUCUUCCAACAACAGCUGUAAGGGCUCCUAAUACAAUCAAUGUGUAGAAUGGUUGAAUUUCCAUUGAAUGGGCAUUGGUGGGACACAUGCAUUUCCUUAGCUACUCUGGUCCUGAGCUGGUACAAAACUUAGGAGCUUCCGUCUGCUUGUCUUUCAAAGAAAAGUAAUCCUUUGUUCCUAUGCCUUCCAAGCAACCUCUUUUUCUUUCCCCAUAUUCUGCUUGGUAAAGGCAGAGAUAUGUAUUAAAAGCCCGUAACAAGAGGAUGCACCCAAAGAAGCACAAUCAUGUACAUCAUUAGAGAAUGGGAAGAAAUGUUUAGAAAAUUCAGGAAAUUGAAUAAAUUGAUGUUUUGGGGACAGAAUAGAA